CAUGUACUGUACAUGUACCGGUAAUUUAAGCAGGUAACAUGUAAAUGUACCUUUAGAUAUUAUGCAGUAGUUAAAUAUGUAUAAUUGAUAAGCUUUAUGUUUUAUCUUUAUAACUAGCUUUUGGGGCAAAUAGAUACUCAUGUGGCUAGGUAACGUUGUGUAUUUGAUGCUGAAUCUUGCAUAUCAACUCAGGUUUUUGUGUGAAAAAAAUCUAAUACAUUAUAUCAUUGUGAAAAAAGGCAGUAUGUAUUUUGAGAGAGAGAGAGAGAGAGAGAGAGAGAGAGAGAGAGAGAGAGAGAGAGAGAGAGAGAGAGAGAGAGAGAGAGAGAGAGAUCUGAGAGACAGAUAAAGGAGAGAGACAGAUAAAGGAGAGAGAGAGCAGAGAUUUCAACCAGACACAAGAUUUUGCACAGGUUUAAUUGCACAGUAUGCAUUCGUGCUUAAGAUUGCUUUAUGGAAGCUUGGGUGAUGGAAGAAAAGAUGCACCUUGAUGUUAUUGAAAGCACAUAAGUACGUAUGGAAAUGAACAGUUUGUUUGGUUUCUAGUCCUGGAUGAUCAUUCAUGGAUAUGAAUGACAAGUGUAUGAAUAUUUUGACUUCAAUUCAUAAACUUCUUCAUUAAAUUUGUUUUGGUUACAAUGCAUUUAUGUAUCCAAGUUAAGGGAAAGUUGAAAAACAUGUAUUAGAAUUUCUUGCACAGGUUGUAUAUAUAAUUGAAUGCACCGGUACUCGCGCCGACCUAAUAUUUGUAAAUACAUUAACCUGUUCAUUAUUUUUGUUUUGCAGAAUAAUAAUAUUAUCAGUAUUCCUUUGCAUUUCACAAAGAGUUUAGUGCUUCUUUGUUUUCUGUGGCAUGUACAGUAUGUUUUGAAUCCUCUUUAAUUUUUGUCCUAUUUAUGAACACUAGAUUUUUGUAAAUCAAACUUGUUGAUUUAGAGUUGGCAGAUUCAUAGUUAUUAUGAGAAUAAAGAUUUUUUCAGC
rnacentral:misc_RNA from 1 species